GCAACUAGAAAUCAGUAUUCGUGAUUUUUAGGGAAGGUGUGGUUUAAUUGUAGGAUUUUUCCAUUAUUAAAUUCACUCUGUUUUUUAAUAUAAAUAAUAGGAUUGCAAAAUUAUUGGUGACUAUCAGUUCAUCAUUGCGGCUUUUGUGAGAGCUGUGCUUCCAAGAUUCAUGCAUGAAUAGAACAAUUGGUUAAAGGGUCAUAUGAUUUCAUUAGAGUCGACUGCUAUACUUCUCAUGCAAUUUCCCAUCGAUGAAAAUUAAGUGAACUUAUACCAGUCAAGUUCAGUACCAACAUGAGCUCAGUCGCAGCUUUAUAAUUGUUUUAAAUUACAGCAAUUUCGGAUUUAUUUAGGCACAUUUUGGCUUUUCUGUUGUUAUAAUGUUGCUGGAGUUUUUUAAGUUAUCACUUAGGAUAGCUCUGCAUUCUCUUUUCCUCUUCUGUUUUUUAUGGUAUUAAGAGUUGAAAAAGCAUGGGCAUUGUGUAAGUUGAGAGCUUUCAUAUCUGAAUAAAAACAAAAGUAGAAAAAACAUGGCCUUUGCAUUGAGGAAAGCAUCUGUGCUAGCAAGAUUGGAAAGUACAUAGCAAUAUCCAUCUGCUAUUGUAUAUUUUAUGACUGCCCAGCUUUAUAAUGAUAUACCCUCUAUAUUGUUGAAGAAAUAUGAUAUAUUCAGUUCAAGUUAUUGCAAAUUUGGAAAAAAAAAAUCAUUGAACCAACUAGGUUUGCAUAUUAUUUUUAGCUUUUGGCUCAGUAGUCAGCUUAGAAGAGAAAAGGUGAUGAACUUUUGAUAUUGUUUGGAUUUCAGAAAGAAGUCAUUUAGGACAUUAGAGAUGAUUCAAUGCUCUACAACCACUGUUUCAAAUACAAACUGGGCCUUUUUUGAGAAUUUUUUAUAACUGCACAGCAGGUUUCCUCUUACUUGCUUAUCCAGGUUGUAUGGAGAGAUUUUCUAUGGUUUUUUCUCAAAUUUUUUUUGGGAAAUUUGGAAAAGAAUGUUAAUGAAAUAGAGGAAUUUUACAUUAAUUUGUUGGAAGUUUUGUUACUUCCUCUUUUUCUGUGGUGGAUUCUAAUUAGUAGCUAAAAGAUGAUGUGUUGAAUUGGAAUUUAAUAUAGUCAUGAUUAGAGGAUAAGAAACUUUCAAAUGUAAUUUCCUAGUCAAAAGAAAAAAUUUAGUGAUGGGAUUUGCAGUGUGAGAUUCAAGCUCUUGAUUGACUUUGUGCAGCUAUUGCAAAUAUGAUAUAUUGAAGGGACUAAGCACGUUGCAGGCCUUCCCUACUCACAUUGCAGAGAAAAGAUCAUACUUGUAGACAAGGAGAAUGAUCCUUUAUCUUGCUGCGUUUGAACUGCGUUUGAACCUUUUUGUGCAUAUACAGACAUGUAUCAACCAUUUCUCACGGGAACUGGGAAUUUCAAACUGCAUUUGAACAUUUUGUGCAUAUGCAGUUGGAAUUGGUUACAAUAUGAGGUUCAGACAAAAAUUUAAUCCUAUCCUCUUCGGAAGAUUAUGGAGCUCAAAAAACAGAGGAAGCUUGCUAUUGCGACUAAAGAAGAGGAGAAGAGUAGAGGAAGGAGGAAACUGCGGUGGGGACUAUUGCACACAUACAUGUAAAGUUUGAAACAAAAAAGAAUCAAGGCAAAAGAAAUGAAAAAGUAGAUUAAAAUUUCCUUUAUAAAUACUUCACUGGCAAUUGAGUUGACAAAUGUACCUAUCUUCAUUUUCAUUAUGUGAA